UCAUUCCAUGGUAUUCAAUAGGUGUGAGAUGGCUUAAAUUGUGUAUUACUACUCUUUUCGCCCCAUGUAUCCAGAAAUGUGCACCAUGGUCCAUGGGUGAUGUUCAUUGACAAGUACAUAUGUCAAGUUGUAUGUGGACUUGAGAAUGGCUUGUCGAACCACUAGAUGUCCCCAUGGUUACACAUAAUAGCCAGGCUUUGGCUGAACCAGUACCUGGGCUUGAGGAGACACACAGUAUGUGCUUCCAAAAAAGGUCUGAAUAAAAAUGAUCUAUUGUUUUUUACCAAGUUCGCAUGCGCCAAAUCCAUCUUCGGCACCUGCAAUAAAAUCACUCAUUGCUGCCAUGCACAGGUCGGCUGAUCCAGCAGCGCUACUGUAUCCCAAAAAAUAUUUUAUUUAAUCUUUAUUUUAACCUUUUUUGGAAGUACAUACCGUGCGUAACGGCAGUAAUGACGAUAGUUGCUCUGCAAAACGUCCUAUUUUGCUUGUCCUGGGCAUCCUUCAAGGCCUCAGAAUAUUUGUCCAGCUCAUCCUCAGUGCCCUUCAGCUUCUUCUGCAUCUGGAUCAACGCAUCGUCAUGCUGACGGAGGGAAAGAACAACGGACAGGGAGGAGUGGGAAAGAGAGAGACAAACAGGCAGAAAGAGAGGAGAUGGAGAGACGGUGAGGAGAGGACAAUUGAGCGAGGGAGAGAUACAGUUUGAGAGGAUGGUUAAAGGGAAGAAACUCAGAGUAAGACAAGCCAAGAUGUGUGAAGACCAGGCUAUAGAGUGGAAACAACCACACAUACAGUAGCAAGAUGUGAGAAGGAGAGGUCAACAUCAUAAUGUUUCCGAAAACAUAUUUCCAUAGUACAAAACCAUUAAUUGAAGUUAUUGGGAGAUUAGAGCAAACAAUCAUGUUAGGUAGCACAUAUUUCGGGCUUCGGUUCAUUACUUAGUGAACAAGACUCUUUUGGAAUGUUAUGUAUAAUGAUUGGUCGCUUUGAUGAGCAAUUGAUCCCAAACAUCCACAAGUAUGAGUAGCCGAAUGAAUCUGUUGAGGGGUUACAGUGUCAAUGCCUUGUGGGUAUUAAUAUCCCCAGGCUCUCAGCCUUCGUCCCUGGACUGCUGUGUAAAACUAUUGUCUGUCUUUGUCGUUGUUCCCAACCCUAAUGUUGAAUUCCAACUUGGGGACAGGAGGACAGCUGUCACUGUCAAGAAGAAUACCCACACGCACGGUCUUAAUAUAGAUUAUGGAGCUCUCUGGAACAUGAUAAUCACUUUAGGAUCCGGAUAUAAUGUCUCUCUUUGUAUUUUCCUCUGACUAUCUGUCAAUUAAGUUUAGGCCUUUAUACAGGUUCCUGGCUCUCAAA